rnacentral:rRNA from 1 species
CUCUACAUUUCUGGUUGAUCCUGCCGGACUGACUGCUAUCGGAUUGGUACUAAGCCAUGCGAGUCGUUGUAGCAAUACAAGGCGGACCGCUCAGUAACACGUAGUUAACUUAACCUAUGGAUGGGAAUAACCUCGGGAAACUGAGAAUAAUACCCAAUGGGCCACAGUGCCUGGAAUGGCCUGUGGUUGAAAUGAUUUAUCGCCGUAGGAUAGGACUGCGGCCUAUCAGCUUGUUGGUGAGGUAAUGGCCCACCAAGGCUAUAACAGGUACGGGCUCUGAGAGGAGGGGCCCGGAGAUGGGUACUGAGACACGGACCCAGGCCCUAUGGGGCGCAGCAGGCGAGAAACCUUUGCAAUGUGCGAAAGCACGACAAGGUUAAUCCGAGUGUCUCCUGCUAAAGGAGUCUUUUGUCAGUUGUAGAAUCACUGGUGAAUAAGGGGUGGGCAAGUUCUGGUGUCAGCCGCCGCGGUAAAACCAGCACCUCGAGUGGUCAGGAGGUUUAUUGGGCCUAAAGCAUCCGUAGCCGGUUGCAUAAGUNUUCGGUUAAAUCUAUGCGCUUAACGUAUAGGCCGCCGAAAAUACUGUGCAGCUAGGGAGUGGGAGAGGU